UUUUUUUUUUUUUCAGGAAAGGAUUUUGUAUGUGUGUGAAAAAGUCAACUGCUCAGGCCCUUGUCUAACGGGGCUGUUUUAUCCCAGUUGUCUGACAGCGGGGACCUGCCCUCAUGUUUACGGGCAGAAAAGAAGCCCCAGGAGGGUGUAAGGAGAAGCAGAUUUGGAGGGUUCCCCAGCCCCCUCCUCGCUUCCCUCGGGCCAGCCCUCACCACAGUGGCUUUGGCCCACAGCUGCCCUAGCCCAGGGACCCAGUGGCAGACAGAAACAGACCUACUUUGGUUUCCAUGGCAACUGCAGGCAUUGGGAGGCCAACCGAGUGAGCCGCAGCCAAACGAGGCAGCUGGUUUGAAGGGUGUUGAUCUCUCUGCGGACCAGCAAGGCAGAACCACCAGGGAUCAGAGGCAGCAACCAAGCCAGGAGGAACCACAGGAGCUGGGCAUACAAAAUCCACGGGGACCUGUCUGCACAGCUUGCAUGUUUGUGGUGCACACACAUGCACCCAUGCUCACCCACUCCCCUCUUUCACUCACCCACCCAGGCAGAGGCACAUGCUGAGAAAUGCACAUCUAUGCUCCACUAUGAACACAUAGAGACCCAUGCUCACAAACUCAGACACCUGUUCACAUCAAAUACACUCCAGUUUUACAUCUCGAACCAUUUUCACACUCAAAAAUGCAGACUCAUGUGCAUUCAGACAUAAUAUACACACUGUACACCCAGAAGCAUCUACAUUUACCCCAGCAUGCAUCCGCUACACACACACACCAUCAUGCACACUGCACACCAUACUCUCAUUCACACACACACACACACACACAAACAAACCCACAUUUACAGGGAGAAAUGCAUGCUCAUACUCACCUGUGUACUCACAGAGACACCCAUACAUAUGUGUGUAUACACACACACACACACAUACACACACACAGAUUGGAACAGCUAAAAGUUAAAACUCAGACUCUGUGAAACCCAAGCUUUCCAUGACGACUCAGAAAUGAGACGUUCAGGGCUGCAGCAGCACCCCAAAAUCCCAGAAACAACCCUCCCGGCUUGCUGCCUCAUCAAUAGCACCCACCACCGAGAAAGGCCUUUAAUCUUCUCUGUUUAUAUUCUCUGAGCAGUUUUUUUGUGUGUGUCCUCCAUAUGUGUCAAAGGACAGAAAUCUAACAAUCUUGUGUCGUUCAGACUUGAAAUAAAAAUUUGUAUGAUAGACUCACAGAGAUGAACACUCCUUUAAGACACUAUAUGUGUCCCACUCCAUAAGGAGGCUGGCCCAUCCCUGGGCAUGCUUGGGUACAUUCGCUGCCUGAUUGCCCCCAAAAGGCAGAAGAGGCUGCUGGAGGGACAAAUUCACAGAGCAUGGAGAAACUUGGGAGAUUAGCUCCUCACCUGCUGUGAACACCUGACAAACAUGGCCUCCAUCUACCCAGACCCUUGAGAGUCAGAGGUCACAGCAGUGAGGUCCUGGUGGGGCGGACGGGGGACGUUUGGUUAAGAAUCUCCUGAAUCAUAUUUGAAGAUUCAGGACAUGAUUUCAAUAUUGCCCUAUUGAUCACUUAAUCAAUGUGCAGAAAUUGGAAGAUGUAUGUACAAGUGUACAUUCCUAUUAGAAUAAUAACAGCUAAUACUAAGCACAGAAAGGUCAAUAAAUGUGAAGCUAUUGUUAUUAUGAUGAUUUUAGAUUGAUUACAAAAAUAACCUAGUCCUUAAAAAUGGAGAGUUGUUGAGAUGAACCUUAUUCCAUAGGAUUUUUAAUUCAAUAAACCCCUCUCAAUGUUAGCAGCAGUGGUAUUAAGCACUGCACAGUACUUUACAGAACAGCUUUAUGUACACCAGCUCAUUGCAUUGCUGAUCAUCUCCUGUGUGCCAGGCACCAUACUGGUGGGAGUGGGGGCACUCACUGAUUAAGAAGACCCAGACCCAGGCCUUGAAGAGCCCAAGAUCUAGCCAGGAAGGGGUGGGAGAGCAGUGGAAAUAUAUAAAACCUAGCUUCUUGUUAUCAUAAAGGCCAAUGCAAAGGGCAUUCUGCAAGGGAUGGGAGCCAUUCACUGAUAGGGAAGCAUCAGGAAGCAGGGGAGAAUAAAAGAAAGCCACAGGGAGUAAGUCACUUGUGCACCACUGAAUGCACAAGUAGGUUCAGACAAGCCAAAUUCUGGAAAGGGGCACUGGAUUCCCAGAACCGUGUGUGGAUGGUCAACCUGAGGAGCUAGAGGGAGGGGUCCUGGCAGGAACAGGAGAGAAGAAACAGCAAAGGCAGACUGAAAUCAGAUUCAGAAAGGCCUUGCAGAGCAAACCAAGGAGUUUGGCUCUAGAGUAUCAUUAGAUGUGUGAGCGGGUCAGACCUGUGCUGGGGAGAAACACUGCAGGUAGCUGGGUGCUGGACAUGAGGAUGUGGAAUACAGGAUGGAGAUGUGGGAGCCUAGGGACCAGACACCACAGUUAAAAUUGCACCCUCCAGUGAACAGAGCUGAAGCCCCCAGUCGGCACCCCUUGCACCUAGCUUAGUGCCUGACCCAUAGAAGGCCCUCCAUAAAUGUUUGAACUGUAUGGAGCCGCAGGGUCAUGCAAAGAAAAUAGAAUUAAAAGUCGGGUGACUGGGAGAGCUAGUUCAGGCCCACUAUUGACUGGCUGCAGGACCCUGGGCCACAGAUUUAACCUCUCCUGUUCUCGAUUUCCACGCUGGUAAAACGAAUCCAAUAAUGCCCUGAUCUCCCUGGUUUAAGCUGUUCUGAGGCUCACAAGAGGGUACAGACUGAAGGUGCAGAGCACCAGCCCAAGCGGGGGACCAUGCAGGCCCGGCCGCCGGCACCCAGGGAUCGCCUUGCUCCGGGACCAUAUGCAGGCAGAGCUGGCGCAGCCGUCAGCAAUUACCUGCGCCCCAAACCAGACACCUGCGCUCCACUUCCGCACAGGCAGAUGGUGCAGUCUGGCCGCGCGCCAGGGUGUACGUAGGCUCCGCCCUGGGACGCUCAUGCCGGUGCCUCGCCACAGACAGCAGCCCACAGCAGCCCACAGACAGAUGCAGUGGAGAGGGGGUCUGGAGCACGGGGCAGCCAAACUGUGGCACACCCAGGGUACCCCAUCCCUUCUACAAACAGCAUCCCUCUCCCAAGGUCAAGGGAGCAGCAAGGCCAACUGCUAAGAUGCUAACACUACUUCAGCAGUGAGUGGAGAAGGUAUCUGCUCCCUGCUUCCCACAUGAAGAAACUGAAACUGAGAGAGAUUUGGUGAUUUUCAGCUGGACAAAAGGUAUUGAGAGAUGGAGCGAGAGGAAACCCAAGUCUCAACUCCAAGUCCACUAUUUUUCUGUGGUCUGGUGCUGCUCUGGUUCCACAGACCACUGUGGCCUCUACUGGGCAGGGGACAGGAGUUCUCCCCGCACCCAAAGCCAGCUGUGCCCCCUCCAGCCCAGUCACUUGGCCAUCCCUCAUGCUAUUCCACAUACCCUAAGGUUACUGGGGAUCCAAGCCAAGUGUAAAUCAGUAGAUUAAGUCAUGAAAUACACACAAAAGAAUGCCUUUUUAAGAAAAAUAGUUGCCUUGUUCCCAACUCUUCUUGUCCUCCGUGACUGGAAAUGAUUGGAAGCUGAUCCUACUACUAUACCAUUUUAGAUUCUGCUGCUUGGAAAGAACCUUUAAAGAAAUCUGGUCUAAAUGCCUCCCCUGGAUAGGCAUAUCUCUGGGUACAACAUCAUCACCAAGUGCUCAUCCAGCCUUAACUCACACACCUCCCCAAACCCUGAGCUCAUCAUUACCUCUCUGCCCAACUCUGGUGAUUAGAAAGUCCUUGCUUCUCUUUAGCUGAAACCCAUGAGACUCUGUAAGGAUCUAAUGGUCUCUGCUGGGGUCACAAGAGCAUACCAAUCUCCCCUUCGUUUCACACCCAGUUGACAUUAGGAGGCAGCCUUCUCUCUUGCUGACUCAGUGGUCCCAUGGCCUUCAACCGUCCCUCAGAAGGCACACUUGUGAUUCUUUGCUCAGCCUCCAGACACACUAUUGUGGGGUCCUGUUCUUCAGAGAGUAGCAUGAACCUCUGCUCUCACAACACCUAGAACAGUGUUAAGCUCACUCCAUGUGCCAUCUCAUUUAUUCCUGACAACAGCCCCAGGAGGUAGAUAUGAUUAUUGCCCCCAUUAUGCAGAGGAGGAAACCGAGAAGUAAAGGAACAGAACAUGAGCUACACAGCAAGAGGCAGAGCAGCCUCUGACCAUCUCUGCUGUCCUGUGGUCCCCAGAGGAGAGCUGUAAUCUUCUCCAGCAGCUCCAGCAGAGCCACAGGAGUCCAGCACAUCUGGUUUUGCAUCCCAUUCUCUCCCACUUAUUACUGUGCCACCCAGGCAAGCCAUGUCUCUGGGUCACCUGGUCUGUAAUAGGAGGAUCCACCUGCUAGGCUGUUAGGGAGAUUAAAACAGCUUUAGAGACAUGCCCCAAGGCCUGAUAUUCCACUUUAGCUCCCAUUCCCCCCUCCAGGAGACCCAUUGCAACUGGGCUCAUGGGAACUAAAACAGUGAAGAAACUGGUGCCACAACCUAUGGCACUGGGGCCUUCUCCAGGAGGGAGCCAGGUUCAAGUCUCUAGAUCCCCCACCCGGCCUAGAGUUACUCUCUAAAAUGAUUUGUCAAGUGACAAGCAAAAAUAUAUUACCAAUUUAAGAGUGUGAUUUGCCUGCAACUUUUUAAUCCUCGGGCUGUUGUUGAAUAGAUUAAAGUGUCUGCUUUGAUCCAUGCAUUUAGAUGGAAACAUAAAUAUAGCCAUCACUUACUCUCUCAGCCGCCAGGAUGGGUGUCAUGCUGCAUCACGCUGGCUUCCGACC
rnacentral:lncRNA from 1 species